UAUAUUGUGGUGUAUGAUGCACGUUGUGAUUUGACCACAAAUGCGUAAGUUUGAUUCUUACUAGUAUAG
rnacentral:tRNA from 1 species